rnacentral:rRNA from 1 species
UUCCGGUUGAUCCUGCCGGAAGCCACUGCUAUCGGAGUUCGAUUAAGCCAUGCGAGUUGAGAGGUGCAAGACCUCGGCAUACUGCUCAGUAACACGUGGACAACCUACCCUAAGGAGGGGGAUAACCCCGGGAAACUGGGGAUAAUACCCCAUAGACUAUGGAUGCUGGAAUGCUUUGUAGUCGAAAGGUCCGCCGCCUUAGGAUGGGUCUGCGGCCGAUUAGGUUGUUGUUGGGGUAACGGCCCAACAAGCCUGUAAUCGGUACGGGUUGUGGGAGCAAGAGCCCGGAGAUGGAUUCUGAGACACGAAUCCAGGCCCUACGGGGCGCAGCAGGCGCGAAAACUUUACAAUGCGGGAAACCGUGAUAAGGGAACUCCGAGUGCCCGUUAAAUCGGGCUGUCCACCAGCUUAAAUAACUGGUGAAGAAAGGGCCGGGCAAGACCGGUGCCAGCCGCCGCGGUAAUACCGGCGGCUCGAGUGGUGGCCACUAUUACUGGGCUUAAAGCGUUCGUAGCUGGUUUGUUAAGUCUCUGGGGAAAUCUACCGGCUUAACCGGUAGGCGUCUCAGGGAUACUGGCAGACUAGGGACCGGGAGAGGUGAGGGGUACUCCAGGGGUAGGAGUGAAAUCCUGUAAUCCUUGGGGGACCACCUGUGGCGAA